UUAUAGAAGCUUGAUUCAAAUUGAUGAACACAGCCUAUUUGGACAGUUAAAUCUCAAUUUGAGUGAGUAAACAACAUGCACAUAUGUUUUGGUUUUUUUUGAGAUGUUGGUGAUAGUGUGAGACCAUUAGUACAGUGGUACAGUAUAUGUUUAGUACAUACAAAGGACCUUUAACAGCAAUCUGACAUCAGGCUGUGAAUUUUGAUCAGAUUUUACUUUUUAACAGGACCCUUCUGCCUCUGUGGAGAAAAGGAGAGAAGUGGUCCUAAGAUGCCUGGUUGAGUACAUGGGGAGAGACAGGAAGACCUCAUCAGUGUCCACCACGUAUGUAUGAGCUUGAAGCUACUCCUCUAUUUUUCUGUUUGUAUGUAUUCAUAUUGUGAGGCAGAUAUAUAUUUAUGUCAUUACCUGUUUGUCUGACCAAACUCUUACAUGUGCCAUCAGCCCAACACGAUUAGGAUCAUCAUAGAAUAAGUGUAAUAAGUGUAUUACAGUGUUUCUUUCACAACUUAAAACAUCCAAUGCAGCCACUUGCCUCACUUUUUAUAAGAUCUAGGUAGAUCUAGGUAUUACGUUUAUGAAUAUAAUGUUUUAGACUCAAUUCCACAGAAUUGACAGUGGAUGAAUGGUGAGAGAGGAUUAAUGAAAAAAAAGAACUACUACGAGUGCUGUAAGAACAACCAAGACCAAGUAAAUGACGCCCACACAGAACACAUGUAAGCAAGUGCUGCAGGACAAGAGCGGUAAGUGAGCCUAUCAUUUGAGGAAUCUUUUUCACAAACACUUUUAAAUACCUCUGUUUAAUUGCUCUGUCAUGACAAGAUAAUUACCACUGUCAUUCCAACCAUUCAGGCGAACUAGCAGAUCUGCAGACAACCUAACAGAUUUUGGUUGUUGGUAUGACUUCAUAGCAGAAUUGUGGUUCCUGCUUUGCCACAAAAUUAUAUUAAGAUGAAGUAAAUAUUCAAGUACAUGCUCAUGACAAGGGUAUAAGCAUGAAAGCAUGGAGUGGUGU
rnacentral:lncRNA from 1 species